rnacentral:rRNA from 1 species
UACGUAGGGGGCAAGCGUUAUCCGGAUUUACUGGGUGUAAAGGGAGCGUAGGCGGUUCGAUAAGUCUGAUGUGAAAGCCCGGGGCUCAACCCCGGGACUGCAUUGGAAACUGUCAAACUAGAGUGUGGGAGAGGUAAGUGGAAGUCCUAGUGUAGCGGUGAAAUGCGUAGAUAUUAGGAGGAACACCAGUGGCGAAGGCGGCUUACUGGACCAUAACUGACGCUGAGGCUCGAAAGCGUGGGGAGCAAACAGG